CAACAACAAAAAAAAAAAAGACAAUACCUCCUUUAUACAGCUUAUUGAGCGAUUCCUGAUUCGAAUCCUGGUGUAGACUGAGAUUUUUAAUUUUGGAAUUUUUAAGGAGCCUUUGAAUCCACCCAGCUCAAAUGAGUACCUGACAGUUAGUUAGGUUGGGGGAAAGGUACAUAGUCGUUGUGAUGGCCACUUGAAAUGUUAACCGUGGACGACAGAAAAAUUACAUUUACAUUAUCUCGCCUAUAAAUAUGAGGUACUCUAUGCUAUUAACCACAUUCUCUCUCCCUCAUUUUAUUUUAUUCUCUCCCAUUUAUUUCCUGCUCGAUCAUCUGUUUCCUUCAUGUCGUGCCC